AUGGCAAGAUAUUGGUGGAGUAGUUCUCUUGACCGCCGAUCAUUGCAUUGGUUGGAUUGGGAUACACUUGCAACCGCGAAAGUGAAAGGAGGGAUGGGUUUCAGGAAUCUGGAGCUGUUUAACUUGUCUCUUCUAGGGAAGCAUGGAUGGAGGCUUCUUACAAGUCCGAACUCGCUGUGCGCGCGAGUGCUCAAAGGGAGGUACUUUCCUCAUACUAACUUUCUCGAUGCCCGGGCACAUCGGCACGCUACGGCUACCUGGCGAGCUAUCUUGGCAGGCAGGGAAGCUCUGAAUGCUGGCAUGAUCAAAAGAAUUGGAGAUGGUUCGACGGUCUCAAUUUGGAGAGAUCCGCGGAUACCGGGGCUGAUCGCAAUGAAGCCGUCCACUCACGUUGGUACGGCAGAUUUGAACUCGGUUUCAGAUUUGAUUGAUGCAGAGACUGGGAUGUGGAAACUCAACAUAGUGCAAAACAAUUUUAUCGCUCCAGAGGUAGAAGCUAUACUAAAUAUCCCUUUGCGCCGGAUGGGAGGUGAUGACAGCUGGGCAUGGUCGGCGGAGAAAACUGGUGUGUACACUGUAAAAUCGGCUUAUCGGACUCUCAUGGUUCGCAACGAGCAUCGUGCUCUAGAAGAAGGGUCGGUAAUUGAAUCUUCAUUGACGAAUAAACAGAUGUGGACGAAGCUUUGA
rnacentral:rRNA from 1 species